rnacentral:lncRNA from 1 species
ACAGUUCUCAAAUUGAAACCCAUUCAUUUUGGAGGCAAAUCUCAAAUUACAAGUGUGAAAAGCCAAAUGCUCCAACCCCUAACCCUAAAACCCAAAUCCAUUUCAUUCUCAUCGCUUUAUGCUCUUGAAAUCAAGAGAAGAAUUAGGAAAAAACCAUUUACAUCAUCAAUCCAAAACCUGAAAUUGGCUUUUCCCAUACCUAAAAUUGAUUUUCUCUAAUGUUGUGAUUCCGUUUUUACCAUACUUAACUUCCACAAAUAGCUGGUGAGUUUGAAUUUGCAUUUGGUUGUAUCACUGUGAUUAAUACUAUUGUGUUAUCAUGCUUUUGUGUCCCUGCAGUUUGUUUUACUAAUUUAUCCAUGGAGGCCAUUGACUUGACGCUAAACGUAUUGAAUUUGUGCGUGUUUGUUGAAAUGCUUCUACCCCUGCAGUUUGUGUCACCGCUUUAUUCAUUAAAACCAUUUAUUUAACGCUAAACGUACAAAAUUCCCUGGCUGCACAUAUUGUUUAGAAUGACAGAGAAAAAUAAAGACAUUUUGUCAUAAAGUUCCGGCACAACUUGUCUGAAUGCCUGAUAAAGAAACGAUGCCCAAAAUGUGGUGUUGGCUUCUUGAAAUGUAUGGAGGUAGAAAAAAAUAUUGGAAACGUAGGUUGCUUAUUCUUAUGAUGUACUUGUUGGGAA